rnacentral:rRNA from 1 species
CUACGGGCCGCAGCAGUGGGGAAUAUUGCACAAUGGAGGAAACUCUGAUGCAGCCACGCCGCGUGGAGGAUGACACUUUUCGGAGCGUAAACUCCUUUUAUAUAGGAAGAAGAUGACGGUACUAUAUGAAUAAGCGCCGGCUAACUCCGUGCCAGCAGCCGCGGUAAUACGGAGGGCGCAAGCGUUACUCGGAAUCACUGGGCGUAAAGAGCGUGUAGGCGGAUUAAAAAGUCAGAAGUGAAAUCCUAUAGCUUAACUAUAGAACUGCUUCUGAAACUCUUAAUCUAGAAUAUGGGAGAGGUAGAUGGAAUUUCUGGUGUAGGGGUAAAAUCCGUAGAGAUCAGAAGGAAUACCGAUUGCGAAGGCGAUCUACUAGAACACUAUUGACGCUGAGACGCGAAAGCGUGGGGAGCAAACAGGAUUAGAUACCCCAGUAGUC